rnacentral:rRNA from 1 species
CCUACGGGUGGCAGCAGUGGGGGAUAUUGCACAAUGGGGGGAACCCUGAUGCAGCGACGCCGCGUGGGUGAAGAAGCGCCUCGGCGCGUAAAGCCCUGUCAGCAGGGAAGAAAAUGACGGUAACUGAAGAAGAAGCCCCGGCUAACUACGGGCCAGCAGCCGCGGUAAUACGUAGGGGGCAAGCGUUAUCCGGAUUUACUGGGUGUAAAGGGGGCGCAGACGGCGGUGCAAGCCAGGAGUGAAAGCACGGGGCGCAACCCCGGGACUGCUCUUGGAACUGCGUGGCUGGAGUGCAGGAGGGGCAGGCGGAAUUCCUGGUGUAGCGGUGAAAUGCGUAGAUAUCAGGAGGAACACCGGUGGCGAAGGCGGGCUGCUGGACUGCAACUGACGUUGAGGCCCGAAAGCGUGGGGAGCGAACAGGAUUAGAUACCCCUGUAGUC